UACAGAGGUCCCAAGCGUUGUUCGGAUUCACUGGGCGUAAAGGGUGCGUAGGUGGUCGGGUAAGUCUGCUGUGAAAUCUCCGAGCUCAACUCGGAAAUGGCAUUGGAAACUACCUGGCUGGAGGGUUGGAGGGGGGACUGGAAUUCUCGGUGUAGCAGUGAAAUGCGUAGAUAUCAGGAGGAACACCGGUGGCGAAGGCGGGUCUCUGGGCCGAUACUGACGCUGAGGAGCGAAAGCGUGGGGAGCGAACAGG
rnacentral:rRNA from 1 species